CUGCCCUAAAAAUCCACUAUGCUCCACCUUUUCCUCCCUCCCCCUCUUCCCCUGAAUCCUCUGGCUGCUCCUGAUCUUUACAGUGUCUCUGUGAGUUUUGCUUCCACCAGAACACCAUCUAGUUAGAGUUAUGCGGUAUGCAGCCUUAGCAGGUUGGCUACUUUCAUUUGAUGAUUUGCACUGAAGUUUCCUGCAUGUUUCUUUGUGGUUUGAUAGCUCAUUUCGUUGUAGGGGUGUACCACAGUCUUCUUAGCCAUUCACCUAUGGAAGGACAUCUCAGUUGCUUCCAAGUUUGGACAAUCAUGGAAAAAGCCACUACUAGGUCCCAGAACAGCAGCAGCCAUAUCACCAUUGUGCUUCUAGAACCCAGACAGUGCCUGGCACAUAGUAGAUGCUCAGCAAAUACCUGUGGCCCAAACAAAGGGCUGGAUAAAUGGAUGAGUGUUUUCCUGCUGGGCAGCUGGCCAAGUGAGAUCUGCAGGGACCGAGAAAGAAGUGCUGACUUGGAACCUUGUCUGGACAUUCAAUUUGAACCUUCAAGAUUGUCAUCAACAUGUCUUCUUAGGAAAAUAAGAGCUUACCUUUGCCUUUGAACUUCAGAGGAGCAAAGUGACGCUUGACAUUUGAGAGACACCACGGACCAAAAAAAGGUAAUAAAAAGAAAAAAAAUGGAAGCAAAGAGAAAUUGUUGAGUGGGAAGGGCUGAUGAAAUACUUUUGUGGGUUUUCAUGCUGCUUUCUCUCUUUUCCUCCAACUUUUUCUUUCAGAAAGGCUGAGUGGAGGAGUUCUAAGUAGUUGUCCCCGGGGUGCCCAGCCUGUCACAUUGCCUGUGUUUGCAGUCAGAGCCAAGAAUCAACGGAGGAAGGAGCUCGUGGUGUAGCCAGGCCACCCUGUGAAAUCUUGCUAGAGGGCUGUGCGACCACCUUGGGGAGCCACGUGGGACGGACUGAUGUCUCCCCGCCCUGUUCACGCUGACCUUCUCUGUGCUCAUAGCCUGGCUGGGGCUGCGGAUAACCGGGGCAACAUGGCAGUCUCCCUCCCCUUCCUGACCCACUCUUCUCCCCUCUGUUCUGGCACACUUUUAGCCUUGCAAACAUGUUGCAGUGUUUGGGGCUGAAAGAACAGAGAAAUAUUUAAAUUCCCCCUGACUUUAAGGUUGUUGAAAGGAGGAUGUCCCCCUCUCUCUGGACAGCCAAAACUUUCUCUACUUUUCCAGACAGCCCUUUACUUUGGCUAAGUCUCAUGAGUUUGCCCCUAGCUGCCUGCUCUUACUGCCCACGUUCAACGGGCCUCACCCCAUCCAGUCUUCACGCAGGGAAGCAUCCCAAGGAGCACAGGCAAGGGAAAGACACCCCUGGAUUCGUACACCAUCCUGACUACUGACUAACUACAUCCUGACCGACUGACCUACUGACCUACUGACUAACUACUCACUGACUACUGACUAACUACAUCCUGACUACUGACUAACUACUCACUACUAACAGUGUCACUUGGGGGACCAUUUACCCUCUAAGCUCUUGUUUUCUCAUUUGCAAACUGGGAAGAAGCAGAGUGUUGUUGAGGACAGAGCUUGGGGGUGGGGUGGUUAGACACAGUGUAAGUGGUUAGAGCACAGAAGGUGCUCAGUGACGUGUAAAUAUCGAGGUGAUGGAGGCUGUUAAUUAACUCCAUGGUGGGAAUGCUUUCAAACAAUGUGUACCUAUGUCAAAUCAUCAUCAUCUUGAACACAUUAAGGAUCUUGGGAUUUUAUUUGUCAAUUAUAUCUCAGUUAGGCAGGGGGGGCAGGGAACAGCUCAGUGCACAACUUACUAAAAAAGAGACCCAUUUAAGGGCUUCACCUUCUUCAAACUUCUCAGGCAGAAUUUGCCAUCUUGUAUGACCUUCCGUUAUUCUAUGGAUUUAUUCUUGCAUGCCNNNNNNNNNNNNNNNNNNNNNNNNNNNNNNNNNNNNNNNNNNNNNNNNNNNNNNNNN
rnacentral:lncRNA from 1 species